GGGUUAGAUGUUAUAACAAUUAAUGAUACCCAAUAUGAACCCCAGAAGGAUAUAUUUUUAGAGUAGAAUUGUUGUUUAUGGUAUGAUACAAGCGAUAUUCUACAUAAAAACCUGUUAUAGAAGCAAUUCAUCAGAGACAUAUAUUAUUGCGUAUGUUGAUUUAAGCAUGCAUCAUGAUGGUAUAUUUUACAGUUGUCUUUCUCGUUUUGUGUACUGGUUUAAAAUGUGAUUUUUUAACAUUAUAUUUUCUUAAAACGAUAUGUUUGUAAUUUCCAAGAAUUUGUAAAUGGUGUGAAUGUGCAGGUACCAGGAUUAAAUCCCUCAUCUAUUUUUUGCCAUCUUAUUAUUAAUCAUUACAAAAUGAAACACAUUUUCUUGUAUAUGUAAUAAAACGAAUUUGAAAGAAAGAAAUGGAUAGCAAUAUCAUUUCUAAAACAGAUGGAUGCGUUUAUGCGUCCUUACAAUUUACAAGAAAUGAAAUCUCUUCUUAUUUUACCGGUCAGUGCCAUUGUUUCAGUAAAAAUAUAUAUUAGUAUGGCAAUAUUUAGAAUCCUCGCUUUACCAUCUUUUGUUAAAUCUUUCUGGUGUGCUCACCCCGUUUUGGUAAAUGAAGCGAAACACCAUCAGAGAAGAUAGAUAUAGAACUGCUUUAACUCAAAUUUGCAAAACUGCACUAGGUUUUAAAGAUGUAAAGUAAGUGAGUGAUGACGUAUGCAUUGAAGGACUGUUGAGGCGUAAUGCUGUGAUACAUUUGUAACUUUACCUACUAGGGGCACUUCAAAUUAGGAAUGUGUUAUAAUAAGUAGAUAUGUUUAAUCUUAAAGCCAAAAUGUUCCUUUCAUUUAUUUUAAGAUUUGCACCAACGCCAAAUACAGUUGGUAAAUUAUACAUCUGCAAAAUUCUGCUUUUCCAAGAAAAUGUAUUAUAAUAGACAGAAAGAGUGAGAAUUACUUAAUACUAUUACAUAUAUACUAUAGUAUACACAACUGUUGAUUUUGUUAUAUUUGUGAUAAGUAAUUUUUUCUUUGUUCCAAUGUUACACCGAUAUCCCAAAGCCAAACACCAAAUCCUUUCUCAGAUUCAAACUUAGGCCUUAAAAAAUAAUUUUUGUACCGAACGCCUGUUUCAUCUUUUGGUAAAAACAUAGUAGUUGUAACAACACCCUUAUUGUACGGGCAGUAUAAUUUUUAACAAUGGAUUUCUAUAAUUAGUUUUAUCAUAAAAGACAUGUAAAAAGUUGGUUAUGAUAUGAAUGACAAAUGCUUGUACGUAUACAUGUUUAGUCCCUAUCAGAUACAUGUAUAUUAAUGUUAUCCACGGAACUUUUAUUUACUUUCGUUGAGAUCUCUUCAUGUGAUAAACGGUUAGAUAUAAUAGAUUUCUGUCUCUGUUGAUAUGUCGUUGAAUGUUGAAGGAGUGCAUCAAGAAAAUUGUUGACAUAGAUAUGUUUUAUAAAUAAAAAUGUUUUACGUUC
rnacentral:sRNA from 1 species